GAUGAACGCUGGCGGCGUGCUUAACACAUGCAAGUCGAACGGAGAAAGGGUAGCUUGCUAUCUUUUCUUAGUGGCGGACGGGUGAGUAACGCGUGGGUAACCUGCCCUUUGCAGGGGGAUAACAGUGAGAAAUCACUGCUAAUACCGCAUACCAACUUCUUUCGCAUGAAGGAAGUUUGAAAGAUCUAUCGGCAAAGGAUGGACCCGCGUUGGAUUAGCUAGUUGGUGAGAUAACAGCCCACCAAGGCAACGAUCCAUAGCCGGCCUGAGAGGGUGAACGGCCACACUGGGACUGAGACACGGCCCAGACUCCUACGGGAGGCAGCAGUGGGGAAUAUUGCACAAUGGGCGAAAGCCUGAUGCAGCGACGCCGCGUGAAGGAUGAAGGUCUUCGGAUUGUAAACUUCUAUCAGCAGGGAAGAAAGGGCUUAUAGCCUAUGACGGUACCUGACUAAGAAGCCCGGCUAACUACGUGCCAGCAGCCGCGGUAAAGAGU
rnacentral:rRNA from 1 species